ensembl:lncRNA
AUUUUAUUUCCAGACAAAAAGUGCAUUUUUACAUUUCUUUCAUUAAAUAAUAAUAUAAUAGUCAGACAACUGCAGAUUUGUAAUAAGUAUGAAUUUAAAACCUACUUCUACAUUCUACCAACCCAACAGAUGUUUCUACUACAGUGAAUAUUAACCAAUGAGGUGGGUCUUUACACAUUCUACCAACCCAACAGAUGUUUCUACUACAGUGAAUAUUAACCAAUGAGAUGUUUCUACUACAGUGAAUAUUAACCAAUGAGAUGUUUCUACUACAGUGAAUAUUAACCAAUGAGGGUUGUAGGUUGGAAGCUAUCAGUGAAUUCCUGUCCGUCAGCUUCCUGUAUAGGUCUGUGCUAAAGCCACCAAUCUCCCUCUUAAUCACAAUGUCCAGAUAACUUGAUUCAUGCGCAUCAAAGG